rnacentral:rRNA from 1 species
AUUGAACGCUGGCGGCAUGCCUUACACAUGCAAGUCGAACGGUAACAGGUCUUCGGAUGCUGGCGAGUGGCGAACGGGUGAGUAAUACAUCGGAACGUGCCUAGUAGUGGGGGAUAACUACUCGAAAGAGUGGCUAAUACCGCAUGAGAUCUACGGAUGAAAGCAGGGGAUCGCAAGACCUUGUGCUACUAGAGCGGCCGAUGGCAGAUUAGGUAGUUGGUGGGAUAAAAGCUUACCAAGCCGACGAUCUGUAGCUGGUCUGAGAGGACGAUCAGCCACAAUGGGACUGAGACACGGCCCAGACUCCUACGGGAGGCAGCAGUGGGGAAUUUUGGACAAUGGGCGCAAGCCUGAUCCAGCAAUGCCGCGUGCAGGAUGAAGGCCUUCGGGUUGUAAACUGCUUUUGUACGGAACGAAAAGCCCUGGGUUAAUACCCUGGGGUCAUGACGGUACCGUAAGAAUAAGCACCGGCUAACUACGUGCCAGCCGCCGCAGUAAAAC